GGAGAACACUUCUCCCUUUGCAUCAAUAUAUACAAACUCAUAAUUUUGGGAGCUGGACUUGGGUAGGUAGGAGGCUAAAAGAUAGUGGAAAAAAGACGAGACAUGUUACAUUCCAUUUUCAGAGAAGAAUAAUUGUGUUUCAAAGUAACCCAGUUUUAGUUUUUGAGCUAACUUCCCAUCAUGCUGUGUUGAACAAAGAACACAAUUGAAGCUACGUGCACUAUCGAUAAUUAGAUAAUAUAACUACCUCUAAUUUUGGAAGCGCUAAUCAACUUUUAAAUGUAGUACUGAACAUCUUUAUGAAACAACCGGACAGUGUUUUGGUAGCCAUACAAUAUGAGCCUUUAAAGAGUGUACACAUUAUCAGGGCUCUCAAGUUUUGAAGACGGGCAAGAGUGACAUUUCCAUCACCCCCCCCCCCCCCCGCAGAACGAAAAAAAAUCUUUCUUUCCUUUUCUUUUUUUUGAUUGGCUGAUAAGUGGCACCUCACAGCAGAACUCCAGGGGAGCGCUUGAUUCCUCCACGGUGAGGGCAGCGCGGCCAGCUCAUGUUUGCGCGCUGCGGCACAUUAAAACAUUAAAUAGCCGAGUUUUUUUCAGCGUGAGAAAUACGAUGUGUGGCGGGAGUGCGUGACUUAAGACCGAAAUGCGUGAGUCUCACGCUCAAUGCGUGACACUUGAGAGCCCUGCAUUAUUUUACAUUUAUAUGGCUUUAAUAUUCUAAUGCAUAACAAAUUAUAUUUGCAAAAUAAAAAUUCAACGUGUAUUUCCAAUAGAUUUGUUGUUGUAUUGCAGCAACGUGGAUUUAUGAACAGUGUUGCAGUACAGCAUCCCAGUUCCCACCACCAGCGGCAGCACCCAGGUCGUUCUGCGCAGGUGAGCGAGAAAAGGAUGGUCUCGCGCGGUUUCGCUCCUUCUUAUAUAAAUGGUGUUCGCUAAUAGUCGUCGGACUGAAUUACGCGCGUACAAUCUAAGGUCGUUACUUUACACCUUUCCCCGUUCCUAUAGAUCGGCAAGAAGUCCAGCUUUCCGAGUGAGUUCCCGUUCUCAUUAGUAUUCUCUAAAGUAUUUAAUGGGCACAGAACACCUGAGACAUCGCUCCGACAGUCCAGCUUCAGGACGAGCUCACUUCAAGUGGCGGGGUGUUUAAAGGGUUGAACACGUUUAGUUUGGUUUUAGCUUGGACGAAGAUAUCGAGUUUCAUGUUUGUUAAGUUGAGUUAUUGGUCCAGUUCGCGUUUAGUGUCACGUCGCAGUGCUUGAAGCAGGUGAACACGGUUACUGUCAGCCGCAGCAGAAAAACACCUCUUCCGGUGUCUCUCCUCGUGUGGCGUGUUGGAUAGGAAGCGGCCGGCAGUCCGCAUUCACAAGGCCCAGUGAGCCACCAGGGCCAUAAUGAAUGUUAUUAAUUGCAACGGUGUUUACCUUGCAUGUCAAACUGGCUGCUGUGAAAAUGGGUAUAUACUCUAAUUCAGCGGUUCUCAAAUGGGGGUAGCCUAUGUGAGAUUUGUAAAAAUACAUCUAAAAUUCUCAUUUAUUCAAAAAUAGGUAUUUAAUACAUAUUCAAUAAAAUAUAAGUGUACGUUCUUAAAAUUAAUUGUACAUAUUAUAUAUUAAAUUAGAUACGGAUGGCACAGUGCUGUGUAUUACAUAUUUUGAUUAAACCAAAAAUGCUUUGCAUUAGUUAGUUGGCUGAAAACAAUAUUUCACGAGGGGUAAAAAGGUUGAGAACCACUGCUAAUUGGCACGCUCCAUCAAACUAACUGCUCAUUAAAGAACGGUUACAAUUUAAUUGUCUACACAUUUAGAUUACAAUUAAAUGUUAAAUAUAGAAGAUACCUGUAUAGCAACAACAACAAAAAACAUCCACAUGCUGUUAUGGUGCUAUGCAUGCUGUGUGUCUCCGCAUAUUAGAUCCUAAAUUACACAAUUAUAGCCAAUCAUGGAUUUGUCCUCCCAGGAGAUAUACUUUUUUUUACCAGUGUUGGUAUCCUACCAAAUAAAUGAUUGUGCAAUUAGCAUAACCUUGCAACUGACUUUCAACCAUAACCAUAUAUGUCCACAUUGUACUGUAUUUGUAAUUCUGUCAUUUGUAUCCCUCAAUAAAUCAGGCAGGAAUGGAUGCCGCACGCCUGUGCCUCCUGCUUCCCACUCUGCCCGGUGAGCAGCGAGCCACAGCCUGUGACAUCUUCCAGCUCAUAAAUCCAGAACAGCAGCCAUGAAGAAGGCAGACCGGCGAGCCCGUUUCAACAUCUGCAUCUAUUAGAGAAGAACCGAAGGUGUAAGAAUUAAGAGUGAUUUCCUCUUCAUCAACAAUCGGGUGCAAAGACUGAGACUUUGUUUUUCCAUCUAAAAGAUAUCCGGAUUUAAAAAAGCUCCUCUCUUGUGGUUAUUAAACCUGCACACGAGGAGAAUCUUGUUAAAACACAUUCCUCGCGCAGUUGACAGUGUGUAUAAAUAAACAAACAAAAUAUUUGUGCUCGGAGCCUCCAUCACUCUCCUUCACACCGCUCUGUGCAUAUUGUUACUCAAAAGACACGUCUGUAAGAAUCUUUGUAGGUCGUAUAUGUUGACAUAUAAAUAGUAACGUGUGUAAUCAUGCUGUAUGUAAUGCUUGUCCCGCACAUUACAAGAGGGAGAUGAUCAUCAAAUCAAUAAAGUUACAUUAUAUUAAUAAUUAUAUCAACCAAACUAACAUUUUAAUAAUUGAAUGACAGGUUCUGGAUGUGGCACAGUGUUUCAUUAAAACAUAGGUUUGGGGUAAAAUUAUCAGCCAACACAGAUGUUCCUUUGAACACUUGACCUACAUUUACAAGUAUGUUCUCGUUUACUCAACGGAUUCAUUCACAAUCCAUUUGCAGGUUUUUAGCUGCAGAAACGUCAGGAAGCGACACAAAUACCACUCGAAGCCGUUUGCCCGCGUGCCGCUCUGAGCGUAUACGAGCUGUAACUGCAUCAUUUCGAUGGGCAUCCAAUCCGAGGAUGGUGCUGAUGAGAUGCAGCUUGAGACACGUAGACCUCACGGUUCUUCAGAGACCAUUCAGUCAUCUAUCAAAUCUGAAAACCUAUUAUUCUAACUUUCCAGAUUUUUCCAAAUAGUAGAUGGACCCUUCAACAGCGUGGGAGUCAGGGAGCAGCCGGCUGCCCUUCUUCUGGUUUGUAUUACACAAUGCAUGGACAAAGUAGAGAUGUUAGAUCUGCUAAAUGAAACUAAUAAUGCAUCCCUUGGAGAAAAAUCCAAAGUAAAUGAAAUAUGUAAAUAACUGAAAUGAAUUGUGGGUAUUAAUUUCUUUGACCAUCUUUGCUUUACCGUUAAACAUACAUAGCUACGGGCAAAUUAAGACUUUAAUGAGAAACAUGCUCAGAGGUGCACAACUGUAAAACAUAUAUAUAGUAUGUUGCAUAACUUUUUAGAUGAAUCGGCAGUUGAAGGAGAAAUACAAUUUCAUCACUUUUAAUAAAUGCUUCCUACUUUGGCUACUUUAUUCACGAAAUGAUAAUGUAUUAUGUUGAUAAUAAAGAAUUACAUGA